rnacentral:rRNA from 1 species
ACGUAGGAGGCGAGCGUUAUCCGGAUUUACUGGGCGUAAAGCGCGUGCAGGCGGGGCGAUAAGUCGUGCGUGAAAGCGCCCAGGCUUAACCGGGCGAGGACAAUGAAGACUGGUCAGCUAGAGGACGGUAGAGGGGUGUGGAAUUCCGGGUGUAGUGGUGAAAUGCGUAGAGAUCCGGAGGAACACCAGAGGCGAAGGCAGCCCCCUGGGAUGACACUGACGCUCAUGUACGAAAGCGUGGGUAGCAAACAG